CUCUCUCUCUCUCUCUCUCUCUCUCUCUCUCUCUCUCUCUCUCUCUCUCUCUCUCUCUCUCUCUCUCUCUCUCUCUCUCUCUCUCUCUCCACACACACACACACACACACACACACACACACACACACACACACACUUCUUGGAAAAAAAUACGAACGGAAUAUGACUGAAUUUACGAGUGUUUUUUCCCUCGACGUGUGAUUCAAUUCAGAGCUUUAAUUAGGAAUUUAUUCAGCGCCGAAAUAUUAAUUAUAUCGCGGUAGUUGACGCGAUAAAACAGAAAAGGAAAAUCCCAGAAAAAAAGCAGUAUCAGGAAAUUUGAAGCUUGAUAUCAGGUCAGCUUGACUCAGUUAUCUGUAAAGGGAGACACUAUUAUUUUUUUCCUAGAGGGAGACUAACAAAAUUUUUCAAAAAGGGAGAUCGAUUUAAAUUUUCGAACUAAAGGUAGAGUGACUAAAAUUCCCGACUAAAAAGAGAUUGAUUAAAAUUUUCCUAAAGGUAGAUCGAUUAAAGGUACCCGUAAAGGGAGGUCGACUAAAGGUGUCCGUAACGAUAGGUCAACUAAAGGUAUCCGUGAAGGUAUAUCAACUAAAGGUAUCCGUGAAGGUAUAUCAACUAAAGGUAUCCGUAAAGGUAUAUCAACUAAAGGUAUCCGUGAAGGUAUAUCAACUAAAGGUAUCCGUGAAGGUAUAUCAACUAAAGGUAUCCGUAAAGGUAUAUCAACUAAAGGUAUCCGUAAAGGGAGGUCGACUAAAAGUACCCGUAAAGGAUCCGCCUGUUUUUAUAAAUAGCCUCAGGGUCUUGAUCUCGAUGUAGUAUAUGAUGAAGAAUGAUACUCUGAUCAUCAUACCACAAAAAUCGAAUGAAUCAUGCAAUUUUUUUUUCAUGUUUAAAAAAAAUGAAAUCGAUCUCCUCCGUUAUUUGUGCACCGUUCUUCUUGUCCUUUGCACACAAAAUACUUUAUAACCUUCUUAACAAAGUUAGAAUAAAAAAUGUUAAUUUUAUUUCAUUUAGUCGCAAAAAAAUAUAUGAGAAAAUUUGCAGUCCGGAUUGUAUGUUACUGCAAAAAUAUAUGAAACUGAUGAUUUUUUUCUAACUUUGUUUUAUAACAUGUCUAGCUCUUAACCCUAAAGUUUUAUGGCAGUCGCGCUAAAACUCAAGGAGGAGAUCCGUUUAUAUAUGUAUUACUCCUAGUUUUGAGAAAACGGUGAUUAAAGAUUUUUUUUCCAUUUUCGUGUCAUAGUGCAAUAAAAAACAUUUAUGUCCCAGACCUGUUACUGUUGAUUCCUCAGGGCUCAUUAAUCACAUACCAAUGCAUUUAUCUAAUGAUGGAACUCGUGGCUCCCCCUUUCAAAGGUAUUAACCACUCUAAGCCGAGGGUGUCGCGACGCGCCAAGUCAUUCAUUGUUGCCAGGUUUGAUCUUCCAAACUCGCCUGGUUUAUACUCAUUGCUUACAGUGUCAUCUGCUUUUCUUUUUCUUUUGCCUUUGGUUGGAGUGGUAGUUCUUCUUUGCUCUUCGCGUUUCAACCCUUUUCUAUAUUGAUGUUUGUUCCCAACAUGCCUGUAAGUGGAUGACACUUGUCAUGGCCAAAAUUGUGUUCUAUAACUGCCACUGGGGUUGCAAUUUCACUCUAAAGUGUCCUGCAUAUUUGACUUCCAUGCAUUUCAACCAUACUUUUAAAUAAAACGAUUGGUUUGGUGGUUGUGGUGGUGGUGAGGGAUCUUCUAGUGGCGAGGCGCUUGAACUUGAACUUGAGUGUUGGCGUGUAGCAGUUAUUUGCGUUUUCCUUGUAUGAGCUGCCACUCAGCGCUUCUUUUCCACAUGCCGUCUCCGCCUUGACGUGAUGUCAGUGAAAGGCUUCAGGGUAAAAGUAAAUGCUCUAAUACCUUAGCAAGAGUUCAUGAAGAAAGAUCGCGGUGUCAAUAAAGCAGUGUUCUCUUAGGCACCAGUUCAUCUGAGUGGGAGGCAGGAAAGUGAUGGGCCGGGGAGAAGUUGCCAGAUGCGCGAAAAUACAUUGGUAUGUCAUAAUUUUAUCAUAUUUAUCGAAAAUAAUGUAACGACAUGAUUCCUGUCACCCGCACCAGGACUGGCUCGGCACACCCACUUAGUAGGCUUUUAAACUCAGGCUCGGUGGGUCAUUUAAAUUCGCGGAAAAAAAAUAAAGCUGCCAUUUGAGCUUAUGUAUAGACGGUCAUGCCAGAGCAUUUAAUUUAUUUUUGAUAUUUUUCAAGUAAUUUCUAAAAAUGGAGUGGCGGAUCCUCCCGGUAAGGUGUCCAUAAAGGGAGGUUGACUAAAGGUGUCCGUAAAGGGAGAUUGACUAAAGGUGUCCGUAAAGGGAGAUUGACUAAAGGUGUCCGUAAAGGGAGAUUGACUAAAGGUGUCCGUAAAGGGAGAUUGACUAAAGGUGUCCGUAAAGGGAGAUUGACUAAAGGUGUCCGUAAAGGGAGAUUGACUAAAGGUGUCCGUAAAGGGAGAUUGACUAAAGGUGUCCGUAAAGGGAGAUUGACUAAAGGUGUCCGUAAAGGGAGAUUGACUAAAGGUGUCCGUAAAGGGAGAUUGACUAAAGGUGUCCGUAAAGGGAGAUUGACUAAAGGUAUCCUGAAAAUCUUAGUCGUGAUGGAAUGGAGAUCGAUUCCUUUUUUUUCGCAAAGCGACAUCGGCAAAGUUUUCCAUAGAGGGCGAGAGUAGGCUAACAUUUUCUCGACUCGGGGGAGAUCGUCCAAACUUUCCCGACUAAAGCGAGAUCGACUGAAAUUCCCACCUUCCUCCAAAAUCAGGUCGCCCGACACCCAGGUCACAGCGACGCUCUGUCAAACCUUUAAAAGUCAUGAAGGAGGCAUUUAUUUCUUUUAUCUCUCGUUUGCUAUAACAUUGUAGUCAUGCUGACGAAGUUGCCGUGGGAGACGUGAAACGAUCUUCGAAACUAGGUCACACACACACACACACACACACACACACACAUACCGGUCAUUUAAUGUAUUCAAUCUAUUAAGAAAACAGGAAAGUCAUUGUUGAAGGAUGAGUCAAGGAGCAUCAAGUCGUGUGUGUGUGUGUGUGUGUGUGUCGACAAGUACGCACACACCCUCGUCCACCUUCCCACGCCGCGGCCGCUGAUGGGAGGCUGAGCUGAUUGAGUUACUGGAGAGGCGGAGGAUUGUGUGAGCGUGUGGCGGUGAGACAGUGCUGGGAAAGACGGGGUGUGUCGGGGGUUAAGAGCUCCUAGAUGUAGGCUAUUUGUAGGUGAAGUAGGUGUGGUGAUUUAGUAGGUGUAAGUGAUGUUUUAGGUGUGGUGAUGUUAUAGGUGUCGUGAUGUAGAUGGAUAUGGAAACAUGGAAACAUGGAAAUGCAGGCAACAGAAAGCCUAUUGGCUCAUUACGAGGUCGCCCGCUUGGGUGAUUUAAUCUGCUCGACCGCCACUUGGGGCUUGGUGAGCAGAUGAAAGCACCUCGAUAUUGAGGAGCAGAUGGAAGCCCCUCGUUAUUCAGUUUACUCCUGACGCAGCGAAAUGACGGUCGAUUCUAUAUUUGAAGGAGUUGAUGGUAUUCGCAUUUACUACUUCUGAGGGAAGAUUGUUCCAGUGGCGGAUGACUCGGUUUGAAAAGAAACUCCUUCCAAUGUCUGUGUUACAUCGACUCGACUGAAUGGGUAAACUGUUAUUUCUAGUUCUUGAGUUGGUUUGCAGUUCAAAGAAUUUGGAGUAAUCGACGUUACUGAACUUUUUUAGAUACUUGAAGACUUGAAUCAUAUCCCCUCGUAGGCGUCUUUUCUCCAAUGUAAAGAGAUUGAGUCGCUUGAGUCGUUCCUCGUACGGUUGAGCCCUGAAGGUUGGAAUCAUCUUUGUGGCGAUGUGGCCACUCAUAUGUGGCGAUAUGGAGAUGUAGUGGUUGUGGUUAUGCAAUAGGUGUGGUGGUGUAGAUGUAGUAGGUGGGAUGAUGUAGUUGCCGUGGGUAUGUAGUAUGUGUGGUGAUGCUCGGGGGAUUACAUUUGAAACGGCUUCAUACUGUCUCGAAAUGCAGUUCGUCUGGGUUCGAAGCUGCAGUUUUGAAAGGAUUCGAAUCUGGUGUUGGGUGUUCCAGUUUCCCAGUCUAGCUGUACAUGGGUUGGAAUCUAGAGUUGUUGGUUCCAGUUUCGUAAUGAGUGUCUUUGUAUAGGUUCAGAUCUGGUAUUUCCUUUCCCAUGUAGUACGUGUGGGUUUGAAGUUUAGCCUUGGCCGAAUCUUUUUAUGUUAGCAUCUGGUGUCGAUGCUUCUGGU